UCUCGAGGUUGGUCCAACCACAUUUGAAGCAAAGUUGCAGCCUCAUCUUCUUUGGAGUCUUGAUCAGGUGAAAGAGAACAUCAAGACCCAGACACAUCAACUUAUAGAUGCUCGAUCAAAACCUAGAUUUGAUGGUGCAGUUCCCGAGCCACGAAAGGGGAUUAGAAGUGGGCAUGUGCCUGGGAGCAAAUGUGUUCCGUUUCCUCAGGUUCUUGACAGCUCACAAAAGCUAUUGCCUCCAGAUGAGCUCUGUAAACGGUUUGAGCAAGAAGGUAAUAUCA